UUACUUCAUUCACAGGGGGACACCAUGGUCAGGAAGGGGGUUUUCCCAGGUUUCGGCUCAUCCUCUACACCCCAUGGUGUGCCGUACCCUGCAAUUUCUCCAAAUGCAGGGAACUUAACUGCAAAUUUUGGGGGUAGUGUCAGUUUGUGUUCAUACUCU